UUUUUCCUUGUUUCGGUCAAAGAAGCAAAAAUCACUAAAAUUCAGAAAUUUCCAAUUUGUCUCUUUUAUGUAAAAUUUCAAUACUAUCUAAUUCAACUUGUCAAUAAUUUUUUAGAAUUGUAAAUAAACUAGCUUAAAGAUCCCUUAUUCUUUAAUCCUGCUAUUAAAAUGAGAUCUAAAGAGAAUAAAGGUAUACAUGGAGUUUUAAGAAAAUAGGUAGAGUUUAGUGAUAGAUUUAUGAUUAGGAGGUGGUGGAAGAUAAAGGAUUGCUUUUGUUAAACAGAACUAACCUAUAUUUUCAGUCCAUCUUAGAGGAAUUGCACUAGAGGGUUUAUUUACCUAAAUAAUUUUGCAAGGAAUGAAGCCCCCACUCAUAAAACAUUUUAAAGAAUUUUCUAGAAAAGAUCUCCCAGGGCCAUCUUCACAGAAGACUACUAAGCAGAGGUGUUGAUGCAACUCAACUAAUGAAUUGUUCUGGGAUGCAUUUCAUUGUCUUCAAAGCCCAGAGACAUAGCUCAUCCUGUCAGCAGUUCUUCUCAGUAAUGCUAUGUCAUGAACCAUUGUCUCCAUUCUUUGUUGUGUAUGAUUUCUGACUGCUAAACCCAAUGGCCUGCUAUUCCUGUUUUAUAGUAAACAGAUUUCCUUACUUGUUUUAAAUGUAUUUCCUAACAGAUUUUUUUGUCAGUUCACUGAAUGGAGUAGCCAAUCACUUGAUUACUAGGUAAUUCAGAGUAGAUUUCAGUCUGUUUUCAGGUCUACUGGAAAACCAUAAAUGAGUUUAAAAUGACAGAUAAAGCAAAAUAUUGUGUCAUUUAUAGUUGGCAAGAAGCCCUCAUUUUUAAAAAGUUUUCUUAAUUCCCAUCAAUGAUAUAGUAAUAUGAAUAUAUUUAUCACUUUUGAUUCUAGUUUUAAAAGGGAAAGGGCUAAUUACUAAAUAAUCUUUGAAAAUGUAGGGCUUCCUCAGAAAUGUGAGUAAGGAUAUUUGAGGCAGGGGCAUGAGGUGAUGGUGGCCAGGCUCAGGCCAGGACCCCACUCCUUCCAGUGGCACCAUGGGGAAGGCCGUGGGCAACCCAAAGCAGGCACUGCCCUGCGUGGCCAAGUCAUGGACAGUCCACAUGGAGGUGCAUCAGUACAGAGGCAACACUGCAAAAAAGAAAAAAAAAAGACAUAAAGCUGAGUAAAGUUUACUCACCAAACAUAAUACUGUGUUUGGUGAUUAUACGUGGACUGUUUGAUGAACCCUUUCUGACCAGGAAUAUGCAGGAUUCUAUUGUUGACACAGAAUUAAAGGUUAAAGACCCAUAGCUCAUUGAUUUGAGUGCAUGCACUAUUGCAUUUCACAUCUUCCAGCAGAAUGAAGAUGGCCCUAGCAGUGAAAAUUUGGAGGAAGAGACAGAAGAUAUAAUUGUGGCAAAUCAUGGGGUUCUGCCUACAGCCAAAUCCCAUGGGCUUUGGAACAGUGUGUCUGAUGUGGGAAGUCAAAUCACACCUUGAUUAUGUGAUUACAACCUUACCAUUUUCAGACAAGAAUGUCAACAGCAGCCUCAGCACCUGGAACCAGGUGGUGCUGCUGCAGGGUCCUCCAGGAACUGGAAAAACAUUCCUAUGUAAAGCAUUAGCCCAGAAGUUGACUAUUAAACUUUCAAGCAGGUAUCGGUAUGGCCAAUUAAUUGAAAUAAAUAGCCCUAGCCUCUUUUCUAAGCAGUUUUCCAAAAGUGACAAGCUGAUAACUAACAUGUUCCAGAAGAUUUAGGAUUUGAUUGAUUAUAAAGAUGCUGUGGCAUUUUCACUGAUUGAUGAGAUAGAAAGUCUCACAGCCACCCAUAAUGAAAGCCAUCAGGCGCCAUUGGCAGGGUCAACACUGUCUUGGCCCAAAUUAAAUUAAAAGGCAUUUUAAUGUAGUGAUUCCAAUUACUUCCCAACAUCACCGUGAAGAUUGACAUGACUUUUGUGGACAGGUCUGCUAUCACACAGUGUAUUGGUCUGCGCUCUGCAGCAGCCAUCUUCAAAAUUUACCUUUUUUGUUUGGAAGAACUUGUCAAGUGACAAGUCAUAUACCCUCCUCAGCAGCUUUUAACCCUCCAAAAGCUGGAGAUGAUUGGCUUCAUUGAAAACAAGGUGUCAAAAUUGAGCUUCCUUUUGAGUGACAUUUCAAAGAAGAUCAAAGGCCUCCAUGGCCAGUUCCUGAGGAAACUCCUUUUUCUGGCUCAUACACUGUAUGUCCAGGCUACACCAGGCUUUCUCUCUGGCCGUGGACAAGCAGUCUGAAGAGACCCAAGAAGCUUUCAGCUUACAUUUGGUCCUGGGCUUCCCAUUCUAUAGCUUUAUAGUGGAGAGCACACAAAUAGUAAGUAAUACCACUUGCCUCACAACAGCCACCACUCUGGAAAUCCUCUCUAUAAAAAUUUGCUUAGAUCUGCCUACAAGCCAGAAACCUACAACACCAACCUUUGUUAUAAGUAUCAUAUUUACUUUAGUUUAAAAUGCACAUUAGAAGACAAACAGCUUGUCAUUUUAACUGUUUUUUAAAGAUAAAUUCAAAUGUUUAAAAGAUAAUUCAAAUGUUAAUUUGAAUGUCUCUUUUGUUAAGAAUUAUCUCAGUGUGACCAGCACAGUGACUCAUGCCUGUAAUCCCAACACUUUGGGAGGCUAAGGCAGGUGGAUCAUAAGGUCAGGAGGUCGAGACCAUCCUGGCCAACAUGGUGA